rnacentral:rRNA from 1 species
GACGAACGCUGGCGGCGUGCUUAACACAUGCAAGUCGAACGGAAAGGCCCUGCUUUUGUGGGGUGCUCGAGUGGCGAACGGGUGAGUAACACGUGUGUAACCUGCCCUUGACUUUGGGAUAACUUCAGGAAACUGGGGCUAAUACCGGAUAGGAGCUCCUGCUGCAUGGUGGGGGUUGGAAAGUUUCGGCGGUUGGGGAUGGACUCGCGGCUUAUCAGCUUGUUGGUGGGGUAGUGGCUUACCAAGGCUUUGACGGGUAGCCGGCCUGAGAGGGUGACCGGCCACAUUGGGACUGAGAUACGGCCCAGACUCCUACGGGAGGCAGCAGUGGGGAAUAUUGCACAAUGGGCGGAAGCCUGAUGCAGCAACGCCGCGUGCGGGAUGACGGCCUUCGGGUUGUAAACCGCUUUCGCCUGCGACGAAGCGUGAGUGACGGUAAUGGGUAAAGAAGCACCGGCUAACUACGUG